rnacentral:rRNA from 1 species
GUCUAUGGUCAUGCCACCUUGAACAGCCUGAUCUCGUCUGAUGUCGGAAGCUAAGCAGGGUCUACCUGGAUGGGAGACCACCUAGGAAGACCAGAUUCUGUAGGAG